rnacentral:rRNA from 1 species
GACGUAGGGCGCGAGCGUUGUCCGGAUUUAUUGGGCGUAAAGAGCUCGUAGGCGGCUUGUCACGUCGGGUGUGAAAGCCCGGGGCUUAACCCCGGGUCUGCAUUCGAUACGGGCUAGCUAGAGUGUGGUAGGGGAGAUCGGAAUUCCUGGUGUAGCGGUGAAAUGCGCAGAUAUCGGGAGGAACACCAGUGGCGAAGGCGGCGAUCUGGGAAGAUACUGACGCUGAGGUGCGAAAGCGUGGGGAGCAAACAGG